AACGUAGGAGACAAACGUUAUCCGGAGUUACUGGGCGUAAAGGGCGUGUAGGUGGUUGCGUAAGUCUGGCGUGAAAUUUUUCGGCUUAACCGGGAAAGGUCGUCGGAUACUGCGUAGCUAGAGGACGGUAGAGGCGUGUGGAAUUCCGGGUGUAGUGGUGAAAUGCGUAGAGAUCCGGAGGAACACCAGUGGCGAAGGCGGCCCCCUGGGCCGGCCCUGACACUGAGACGCGAAGGCGUGGGGAGCGAACGGG
rnacentral:rRNA from 1 species